GAACUUCUAACAGGAACUGAGGAAAAUUUUUUUGGCUUUUAGCAACAUUGCAAAUUCCCUCAAGGGAUUGCAAAAGUAAUGAGGAAAAUUGCAAUCAAUUUAGAAACUCAAAAGAGGAACGCUUCACGUAGUUUACCUGUAACAGUCGCUAAUGGAUUGUAAGAUGGAUAGAGAGUAUUUAUUACACGAGCUUAGGCCUUAAAAUCGGGCGCGUGGCUUUGCGGGCAUAAAUUUGCACA